GUGCCUUACCGUGGUGAUACCCCGACUUGUCGGGGAGGAAAGUCCCGACAGCAAAAAAAGGAUAGCAGCUAACGGCUGCUGGAAUGCCCGGAAUACGGGACAAAGGAAAGUGCCACAGAAACGAAAACUACCUAGCUUCGGCCGGGGAAAGAUGCAACGUGGAGAUUCCCGACUUGUCGGGAUACUUCUUCUCAGUCUGACAGCUUCGUCAUUCGAGUGGUAAACCCUAUCCGCUGUAAGCGUGCCCUGUAGCAAUAUGGGGUCGUGCACAAAGUUGGCUACAUGCCAGCAAAGAUAAAUCUCACCGAGAAACAGAAUCGGGCUUACAAAGUAAGGCAUUACU
rnacentral:RNase_P_RNA from 1 species